rnacentral:tRNA from 8 species
UCGGGAUAGCUCAGCUGGUAGAGCAGAGGACUGA